CAUGUUUAUGCCUCUUCCAGAAAAUGUGCUGCACCUACAAUAAUCAAUCUAACUUAUCCAUUUUAUUUUAUAGGCCUUCGAGUACAAGAGGCUGCUGCUUGACUAUAACAGCGAACACGACCAACAAGUUCUGCCAGCGCGAGGCAAGCAACGACAUGCUCGGAUACCCCCACCUGUGAGUCGCGCUCCCCUUGCCCAGCCGCCCCUUCCUGCAAGUCUCUCUAGAUUUGGGAGCACUGCUAGAUCCUCUACACUGGAAACGAUCAUAUAUUCAGAUGGUAUGUUAGUUUUCGUGGUUUUUGAUAGGCCCAGCAUCUGUUGGCGUUAACCAUUUCCUGUGUGGUUCUUCGUAGCCUUGUUGCUGUUGUUGACCCAAACCAGUUUGCGUGUGAUUGCUGGUACCUAUAUGUUAGUAUUGUUGCUGCCUACUAUGAGCUUGAAUGUCUUAGGCCCUGUUCGGAACAAAGGGUAUUAAAACACAGGAAUUUAAGAAACAGUAGGAAUGGGAAAGGAGAAGCAGAGCAAAACUGCGGAUCUAGAAACGUAGGAAAGCUUGAGAAAAACGAGUCCGGGUCGUUGCAAAAACACAUAGGAGUCGACUUAUGCAUGAGCUGUGAAGUAUAGAUUAAAAUAUAAUUUAUUCGGCAUGUAACGUACUAGCUGCUUUGGUCUCCAAGCUGCUGGCACACAAAGGUAUAUUUUAUUAGGAUGUACAGUGCAACUGUCAGCCUGCACUCAUUGUUAGCUCUGGGCUGCUUCGCUCUUACACGAAGACACGAGCUCCGGUUGGAUUUUUAUUCUCCCGUGAAAGUCAGAGGAAUCUGAUGGUUGAAAUCCUGUGUGUCGAACGCUAGUUCUUAGCAGAUUUCCUCCGUUUUGGGUUCCUGUACCUUUUCUUUGAAAUUCCUGUAAACCGAACAGGGCCUUAGUAGAACAUCACCAGGUCAAUGUGUUGCAGUCAAGUUUUGGAAGUUUUGCCAUGCCAUGCUUAGUGUUUACUGAACUGUGGCAUUUGGGAAUUUAGGUGUAAUUUUUAUUCUCUUGAAUGGAUAUUUUUUAUUUACAAUCAUUUAACUUCCACUAUAUCUUACUAAUAAUUUAUGCAGAUCAGCAUCUAAAGUCGUCGAGUGGCUGCUGCUGUGAACGAAGAUCAGAAGAAGCCUAGAGAUGUGCACAAUAGUUUUAGUUGAUGUUGCCACCGUGUUUUGGUGCGUGUGUAUUUGUUUCCGAUUGUAUGUACACUUGAUGGAUCGUGCGGAUGUGUAUGAGCUGUUGUGAGUUUCAUUGAGGGAUUUCUGGAUUUGAUCAUUUAAAUGUGAGAAUUAUUGAUUGUUUGCUGUUGAAAUGUGUAAAAUUGAAAUAUGUGAAUGAAAAAUACCGAAUGUUCUAUUGGAUUGAAUAAUAUUUGGGCUCUAAAAAGGCUAUGGCCCAAAUAACAGUGGACUGGAAUAUCGCACAUUUAUGAAAAAAGGUAUAAAAAGGCUUAAUUAAAUGGACCGUGAAAUGGAUGAGGCCUAGAAGUAAAAAGACCGAAUUGUUGGGCUUGGCCCAUGAAGC
rnacentral:lncRNA from 1 species